rnacentral:rRNA from 1 species
GUCGCACGAGAACGGGUUAUAGCUUGCUAUAAUUGUCAGCUAAGUGGCGCACGGGUGAGUAAUGUAUAGGUAAUAUGCCUUUUACUAAGGGAUAACAGAUGGAAACGUUUGCUAAUACCUUAUACUCCGUUUAUGUAUAAAUGUAAAUGGGAAAGAUUUAUCGGUAAGAGAUUGGCCUGUAUUGUAUCAGUUAGUUGGUGGGGUAAUGGCCUACCAAGACAAUGACGCAUAACUGGUUUGAGAGGAUGAUCAGUCACACUGGAACUGAGACACGGUCCAGACUCCUACGGGAGGCAGCAGUGGGGAAUAUUGCACAAUGGACGGAAGUCUGAUGCAGCAACGCCGCGUGGAGGAUGACACAUUUCGGUGCGUAAACUCCUUUUAUAUAAGAAGAUAAUGACGGUAAUAUAUGAAUAAGCACCGGCUAACUCCGUGCCAGCA